GAUGAACGCUAGCGGCAGGCUUAAUACAUGCAAGUCGUGGGGCAGCAUGAGUGUAGCAAUACAUUUGAUGGCGACCGGCAAACGGGUGCGGAACACGUACACAACCUUCCUUCAAGUGGGGAAUAGCCCAGGGAAACUUGGAUUAAUACCCCGUAAUAUUAUGGAGUGGCAUCACUUUAUAAUUAUAGCUCCGGCGCUUGAUGAUGGGUGUGCGCCNGAUUAGGUAGUUGGCGGGGUAACGGGCCCACCAAGCCUUCCGUAUCAGUAACUGGCGUGAGAGCACGACCAGUCACACGGGCACUGAGACACGGGCCCGACUCCUACGGGAGGCAGCAGUAAGGAAUAUUGGUCAAUGGACGCAAGUCUGAACC
rnacentral:rRNA from 1 species